rnacentral:lncRNA from 1 species
AAGUUUUUCCCGUCAGAAGAAUAUCACAAAUUAGAAUUAGGUGGAGGUCAUGGUAAAGGAAAACGGGCCAAGGCCAAAUAUGCCGACAGGGUCAUGGUCAAGCGGCUCAAGGAUGAGGUUUUUCCCUCCUUGUGGAAGGCCUACUAUGCCCAGGGUUAUCCACCAGACGAGGCCAGUGCUGUUGAGACUUAUUUGGAAAAGGUGAAAGCCAGCUGCUGCUGCAGUGGCAGUACUGGCAAGAUUUCGUCCUCCUCGUCCUUGUUGGCGGAUGCUCUGCUUCGGCAUGAGAUCACAGGCUACGUGCACCAUUGGAAUUUAGGCCGCACUGCUGAGCUCCAGUGGAAGUCAAUGGUGGAGGACGUCUACUCAAAGCAGGGCAAGUUCAAAAACUGGUUGGCUGUAUGUGAUGUCCACCUCAAAUUCAUGGACGACGAGGACUCCUUGGAGGUCUCCAUUGCUUUGGGGCUCUUGCUGUCUGAACUGAGUGAAGAGCCAUGGAAAGGAAAGGUGAUCCAAUUCAGUUGUGAGCCUCAGCUACAUUCCAUACAAGGCGGCGACGAUCUUAGGUACAAGUACGAGUUUGUGAGGAGGAUGACCUGCGGUGUCGACCUUGAUUUUGAGAAGCUGUUUGAUUUGAUUCUCCAAGUGGCUGUGAAUGAGAACUUGAAGCCGGAUCAGAUGAUCAAGAAGGUGUUGGUGUUGAGUCACCGGGACUUUGAUAGUGCCAGUGCGGCCGAAACUUCUUGGGAGAUUGAUUACCAGGCAAUACAGGGCAAGUAUAAGGAGAAAGGGUACGGGGAUGUUGUGCCACACAUGGUGUUUUGGACUUUGUCAAAGUACAACCCGGAGAAGCCGGUGGCGCCUCGUACACAACCGGGGGUGUCCAUUCUCAAUGGCUUCUCUAACAAUCUGCUCAAGCACUUUCUCAACAAUGAAGGCGAAAUUGGCCCCGACUAUCUCAUGGAAUUAG